rnacentral:rRNA from 1 species
UACGUAGGGGGCAAGCGUUGUCCGGAAUCAUUGGGCGUAAAGCGCGCAUAGGCGGCUCGAUCAGUCUGCUGUAAAAGUCAAAGGCUCAACCUUUGAAUGCCGGUGGAUACUGUCGGGCUAGAGUCCGGAAGAGGCGAGUGGAAUCCUGGUGUAGCGGUGGAAUGCGCAGAUAUCAGGAGGAACACCAACGGCGAAGGCAGCUCGCUGGGACGGUACUGACGCGUAAGGCGCGAAAAGCGUGGGGAGCGAACAGG